UCCUAUUUUAUAAUCAGUAAUAAGUUUAUUUUCACUCGAUGCACACAAUAUAGAAAAUAUCUUUUUACUAGCAAUAUAGUUUGUUUUACAAACUACUAAAAAUGUUUCUGUUGUCUUAAGGCGAUUUAAACGCUUCAGAUAAAUAUUUUAAGUUUCAAAUUGAUAUCCAAGGACCAUUUCUAAAAUUGCACUACAAAAAUCUCGUUGGACGGUAUAAAUUGAAAAUCUCUGUAUCUGUAUCCUUCACAAGAUGCUUCUGAAGACUUGCAUGCGUGACAUUUGCAUGACGUCGCUUGCUGAAAAACGUACACCUCUGUUCCUGGUUCAACACCCAGUUCACAGUUUUUUAAGAUAUAUUUAGUUAAUUUACGGCCACCGUGUAUGCAAACUGGAUGGUGUGAACGUUUAUAAGGAAAUCGCCAAUCAGAUA